rnacentral:rRNA from 1 species
GAUGAACGCUGGCGGCGUGCCUAAUACAUGCAAGUCGAGCGAACAGACGAGGAGCUUGCUCCUCUGACGUUAGCGGCGGACGGGUGAGUAACACGUGGAUAACCUACCUAUAAGACUGGGAUAACUUCGGGAAACCGGAGCUAAUACCGGAUAAUAUAUUGAACCGCAUGGUUCAAUAGUGAAAGACGGUUUUGCCGUCACUUAUAGAUGGAUCCGCGCCGCAUUAGCUAGUUGGUAAGGUAACGGCUUACCAAGGCGACGAUGCGUAGCCGACCUGAGAGGGUGAUCGGCCACACUGGAACUGAGACACGGUCCAGACUCCUACGGGAGGCAGCAGUAGGGAAUCUUCCGCAAUGGGCGAAAGCCUGACGGAGCAACGCCGCGUGAGUGAUGAAGGUCUUCGGAUCGUAAAACUCUGUUAUUAGGGAAGAACAAAUGUGUAAGUAACUAUGCACGUCUUGACGGUACCUAAUCAGAAAGCCACGGCUAACUACGU